rnacentral:lncRNA from 1 species
CAUAUUCCAAGUAUAAAUAGAGGUGUUAGGGUGAGGAGUAUAGAUUGAUGAACCUUAGAGAGUUUACGGCCAGAGAGAAACAAGAGCUUUUAUGUGUGUGUGAAUCUUUUGUAUCCGGAUCUUCAUUCAUAUCAAUAAAUUCAAAGAUUAAUAUUAUUCUUCUUCUCCUUCUCUUCUUAUUGUGAUCUGGCAUCAUCUGUUUGAUUGGGAUUCCGCACCAUCAAACGGAUCUGACUGAUACACGGGCAAAUUAGGGACUUACAAUUGGUAUCAGAGCCAAGUUGUAUCAGUCAAUUUUGUCAGAUUUGGGGCAUUAUUUGAUCUUAUUUUCGAAAUAUUCUUGCGUUUUUGGAUAGAUCUCUGAAAAAUAAGGGGGGUUUGUUCUUCGUGUUUUUCAUAAAAGCGGGUUUUUGAUCGAGUUUUGGAGCAAAAAACGGUGUUUUUAGUCGUAACAAGCGAGGGGGUGGCGGCCGACGGCUAGGGUUUCGGAGUUCACGGCCCGAGGUUCACGGUCCAGAGUUUGUGGCCCGAGGUUCACGGUCCGAGCUUGCGGCGUCGGAUUUUGCUGUCCAGCAGUCUCGGUCUUCGCCUCGCACCUCGGUCCUUGUCAUCGCUUCGCAGCAAACUCGCAACAGUAGCAACCCUUCGCAUAUAAAAACAUAGGAAGCGUUUAACCAAGUCUUCUACGCUGCAUCUUGGUUUAUACCUUCCGAAUUUAAUUCAUAAAGCUUCUUUCUCAGUUAUAAUUUUGCAUUUUUGACACUUCUAACCCAAAAUUCACUUUUUUUUAGUCUUAAAUUCUAUUUUCAUCCAAAAUAAAAAAUAAUAAUAAUAAAAAUUGUUUUUAUUUUUGACUUUUAUUUUUGACUUUUCAUUUCAAAUUUUGACUUUGACUUUCAAGUUUGACCUUUGACAUUAAACUUUGACUUUCUUGUUUAAUUUUUUUAAAAUUUUCAAAUUUAACUUUUCGGUUUGACUUUCAAGUUUGAUUUUUUUAGUUUGACUUUUUCAAGGUUGACUUUUUCAUGUUUGACUUUUGAGUUUGUUUUUUUUUUAAUUUGACUUUUAAGUUUUGUUUUAGCUUCUAGUUGUGUUUUUUAAUUGAUUUUAAGGUCUACGAGGGUCUUGAAAACAUGACAGAGAGUCGUUAAGAUAUGUUAAGACAAAAUUUCAACAUUUUUUAUUAUAUCCCUGGAGAAACCCUCGAAACUCAGUUGCAGCGAUUUACUACACUUAUUACCGAGAUGAAUAUAGCUGGGAUCUUCUUGUCUAAAUCUGAGACAAACAAAAAGCCAUUAAAUUCACUUCCAAAAUCGUGGGAUAUGGACGUGGCUGACAUCAAGAAGACAAAAGAUCUCAAUCGUCUUAGUCUGGCUGAUAGAAGAACUUAACGCUUUGAAUUGUCGAAAAACAAUGAGUUCAGCAAACCUUCCUGUCAAUGAAGUGUCGUGUUCUCAUUCAUGUGAAGUUUCAUGUUCUCAAUCAUGUGAAGAUACGAUUAAAUUUCUUCGGGAACAAAUUGAUUUAUUAAAAGGGGAAGUUGAGGACCUGAGAUAUAAAGGAUAUCAACUCAGGAAAGGACAGAAACCCCUGAAGGCUGAAUUAGAAGCUAAAACCAAGGACUUUAGGAAACUUCAGGAAGAGUAUAGCAGCAAGUGUGAAAAUUAUGAUUAUGUUAAGAGACAACUUGCUGCUGUAACUGAAGAACUUGACGCUUUAAAAAUUAAGUGUGGAAAAACUGAUGUCAGUUUCAAAAAUUAUACUGCGUCAAGUCAGACAGUCGAGUCCUUAUAUGAAACCCAAUUAAAAUUCAAAGAAAAUCAAAACAAGGGUCUAGGGUAUGAUAGUGUACCUCCUCCUUAUAAUCAUAACUACACAUCCAUCCCUAUGACACAGGACGAAACUGACAGGGAGCCACAUCUUCGAUAUGGCAAACGAGCUGGAUUUGUGUCAGGAGGAGUUAUUAAUGUUGAAAAUAUUGAUGCUUUUGUUAAAUGUGCAGGUAAAGUAGCAGAAGAUGAGAACAAGGAGAGCACUACUGAACAAACUAAUGACUCUUUAAACUCAGAAUCUAUUUCUUCAAAUUCUAUUGCUCCUAACAAACCUGCCGUUGAGAAAUAUACACCUCCAAUUCCAGCGCAAAAGAGUGCCUAUUGCAAGUGUGCAUCUGGGAACAACAAGAGACAAGGCAAGGAUAUGCCACCAGGGGCAGGAAGAAACAACUUCACAGUGAAGAAAAAGACAUGUUUUCACUGUGGAACACCUGGACACAUUGCCAGAAAUUGUCCAAAUCGCGCAUACGUUCCCUACUAUGCACAAGGCUGGCAGAACGCGCCAAGAGGGAGAUACUUNUCAAAAGAAACCCCCCAAGAUCAUGUUCAGACAAUGCUGACUGGAAUGCCAUGAAGGCCAAGAAUUCAACUCCCAAGGCCAAGCAUCCAACUCCCAAGGUCAAGCAUCCAACUCCCAAGAACAAGAAGGGAAUGUUGACCCAGAAGUCUAGUUCAAGAGAUGCUCCUAUGAAGCUAAGACCGGUUAGGUCAAAGUCAUCUAGGCAGCGGACUUCAAGUUCCAAAGCAAGUGCCGAGGCACCCAUCGGAUCGAAAAAGAAAUGGGUUAAACCCGCAUAUAGAUGGGUACCAAAGGUGAAAACUCCCAAAUCUUCAAAUGACUAUAAUAUUUCAUUGUCUUCUGUUUGUGAUAAGCAGGAUAUGUCAUGGGAGAGAGUACCCUGCAUUGAUGACAAAGGUCGAACCAGUUUCAAAAUGGACUGGGUUCCAAAGACCAAUUAAUCCCGCUCUGUGUCGGAGCAGCUAUGGAGGCAUAUCAUCAGACUUCGGUUUGCUGGUAGUGGCUGUUCCAGGCACAUGAUAGGAGACAUCUCUCAACUAUACAACACUCAGAACAUUGUUUGUGAGUAUGUGUCCUUUUGUGGGAAAGGAAGAAAGGAAGGGAUCACAUGGGGUUAGUGCUUAAUGAUAUGAAGAAUUUUCGGAUCUGUUCUGAGAUUAUGCUUGCUGUUCUCAGAACUUCUGAAUGCAGAUUCAAUCGGUGAAUUACGGUUUGCGUUUUCUUCUCUAUACUAUAGAGUUUUUCUUAAGUUGAUUCGCUUUAAAGACUAAUUUUUGUUUAGCAUAGUUUAAAUUUGCGCAUUUACUUUCAUUUCUCUCCUAUGCACAAAUUUAGGGGGAGAAAUAAAAACAAAACAAAAAUUAAAAAAAAUCCAAAAACAUUAGAAAAUCAAAAAAUAAAAAAAUAUGGUGUUAAUGGAGUGUGCUUGCAAGAGAUGUUUUGGGAAGUGAUAUUAUCAAGUGAUAACAGGCAACCUGAGUCUGCGUAACAUACCUAAAGUUGAAGGGUCUAUGUUUUGACUUGAUGCGUCGGUAGGCAAGGAAAUUUUUAAAAUGGACUUGACUAGGGAGAGUUGAACUUAGGAAAUUUAUAGACUUGACAAAUCCUGACCUAGUUAGAUACAUUUAGCCUGACAAUACGACGCUCGGAUAGGUUGAGCAGGGAGAUAUAUAUGGGAAUCUACUUGUCAGAUUAAUUGAACCUGUACUUGGAACCGUGGUUUAACUUUUCCUCGAUGUGCGGAUUCUUUCCUUAAUUCUGGUUGGAUGGGGUGACUGGUAAAUUCCGAUAAAUUAGGUCUGUAGAAUAUCAUUUUCUUUCUUUCUGUCUGUUAGUCAUAUGUUGUCUCCUUUGCGUGACUUCCAAUCCGACCUGGUACACAACAUAUGCAAAUCUAUUUCUCUGCAAGCUAUAUAUAUGUGAAAUACUUCUUAUCUGUUAGCCAUAUGCUGUCUCCUUUGCGCGACUUUUAAUCCGACCUAGUACACAACAUAUGCAACCUUCUUCUUCUCAACCCCUCUGAAGUAGUUAGCAAUAGAAUUUUGAAUCUCUUCUCUCUCUGAAUGGUUGUCUGCUCACCCGGUGUAAGUACUCUGGAAGUUCUUGAUGGCUGGGGCAUAUCAGGAAGCGGGAAACAUGUUCCAGUACAAUUAAAAUUGAACACUCAAAGAUUGUCUAUAGAUCUCGCUGCUCAAUUUAGGUGGACAACAAUAUCCCUGGUCGUCAUCAGAUGAAUGGUCCUUAAGAUAUAGUAUCUAGGAACUUAGGAUCAGAUAUAAUAUCUAGGAACUUAAGUUCACCUGUCUUGUAACAAAUAGUAUGUCCUAAAUUUGUCACAAUUUUUCGUGUUUAAGUGGACAACAAUACCGACGAUCGACCAGACAAAGAUGUGAAUAUGAAAGGUACCGACAAGUGGAUAAAGGCUGUCUAAAAACUUUGAUCCCAAAUCACUCUUAAAGUUAGAUAUCAUUUUUAUUUUUGUUAAAUUUGUCAUAGUUUCUUCUAAUUUAAAUAUUAGGGGAGAAUUAAAAAUUAAAAAUAAUGAAAAAAAAAAAAUCAAAAAAAUUCAAAAAUCAAAGAAAAAUCAGAAAAAUUAAAAAUCCAAAAAUAGUGUUAUUUCUGUUUUAUUUCUUGUUCAGAAAAAUCAAAAAUCCAAAAAUAUUUUUGUUUCUGUUUUAAUUUGUGUGCUAAGUUUUCUUUUAGUUUUGUUUUGUCUUGAAAAGUGAUUUCAGGUAUAGAUAAGACUCAUGGAGUUUGUGUUGAAGAUUUCUGAGCCAAAGCCUCGUCCGUGAGCAUCGAAGAAUUCGCAUUCGAAGGAGCAAGAAAUGAAGAUUAUUCUUUCGACAUUCAAUCCUUCAACCCUAGAAGCAAGGUGAAGCAGAAAUUGAAGAUUAUGUGACAGAUUGCAUUGAAGCCUCCUCAAUCAGUCUGCUGCUAUCGUUGUACCUGCUGAAGUGAUCCAGAAGAUUUGUUCUCUCUGAUGUUCUCUCUGAAGAUUCUCAAGCUGAAAGCGCCAUCUUUCAAGAAUCAGUACGUCAAGCCUCCUCACCCAAUGUGUGUUCAAUGCCAAAUUCUGAAGAAAACCUCAAGUGCUCAAGAUGAAGUCAUUCAUUGAAGAUUCAUAUGUUCAUCCUGAUGCUGUGAAGAAAUCGAAGGUUAAAGCUGAAGCCAAGCUCCCAUUGAAGAUUGACAAGAAGAGCCAGCUACUUUUUAGGGGGAGCUUGUUGGGUCUUUAAGAAAAGAAAGCUAUAAACCAAGGGGGAGAUUGUUGGGUCAAAAUAUGGUUUAUACUUUUCUUUUCUGGGCAAUUAUAUUUUUGUGUAAUAUUUUAUGAAUUUAUGGUCUAGUUUACAGCUGAGUUUACGGCCGUAAAGUCAUUUAUGGCCCAUGUGUUAUCCGGCCCAUAUUCCAAGUAUAAAUAGAGGUGUUAGGGUGAGGAGUAGAGAUUGAUGAACCCUAGAGAGUUUACGGCCAGAGAGAAACAAGAGCUUUUAUGUGUGUGUGAAUCUUUUGUAUCCGGAUCUUCAUUCAUAUCAAUACAUUCAAAGAUUCAUAUUAUUCUUCUUCUCCUUCUCUUCUUAUUGUGAUCUGGCAUCAUCCGUUUGAUUGGGAUUCCGCACCAUCAAACGGAUCUGACUGAUACACGGGCAAAUUAAGGACUUACAUUACAAAUCUAAAGGGCAUUAUUAGAUGUUUCCAUGUAGUAUCUGACUUGCAAUUCAAAUUUUAUAAUUCUUGCGUCUUUGGUAUUUGUUCUUCCGAGUUUGAAACAAAAAUAUGGGCAAGUAUUCUUAGUUGCAUGGAAGGUUACUUUCCAUUAAAAUAUUUAGGUGUUCUG